AACGAACGCUGGCGGCGUGCUUAACACAUGCAAGUCGGGCGGGAAAGUUUCCUUCGGGAAGCGAGUACAGCGGCAGACGGGUGAGUACGACGUAGGUAACCUACCCUCGAGACUGGGAUAACCUGUCGAAAGACGGGCUAAUACCGGAUAAGACCACAAGGGCUGCGGGCCUUUGAGGUAAAAGAUGGCCUCUGCUUGCAAGCUAUCACUUGGGGAUGGGCCUGCGCGCCAUUAGCUAG
rnacentral:rRNA from 1 species